rnacentral:sRNA from 1 species
UGAAUAGGUCAUUAGCGCAGUCGGCAAAGCCGUUGACUUUUAAUCAAUGGGUCGCAGGUUCGAGCCGAGCGAAGCGAGACAACAACGCAACAGCGUUGGCCCGAAGGGCGAGGCCGUAGGCCGAGUCAUCCUGCACGACCCACCA